AAGAGGAAAGGAGGAAAAUGGCAUAAUUUCUUUGCCCCUUAACAUCAUCAACUGCUUCAGAUAUGGGAAGAAAUUCAUCCUUCAGCCCGCUGCCAGAGCCGUUGGUCACUUUUCCCUGACUAUAGUCACCCUUGCAAACAUAUAUUUUGAAUAAGGAAAACUAAACGUCCACCUAAACGUUUCAACUUGUUUUUUACUAGAAAACUAACCCGGGUUGGAGAUGGGUUAAUUCUAAACAUGCAUAGGCUCAACCUCAU